rnacentral:tRNA from 1 species
GGGCUCGUAGUUCCAACUGGCUAGAACUCUUGAUUUGCAUUCAAGGUGUUGUCAGUUCGAACCUGGCCGAGUCCA